GAUGAACGCUGACAGAAUGCUUAACACAUGCCAGUCUUUGGCGAAGCUGUGCUUGCACAGCCUAGCCAAGGCGGACGGGUGAGUAACGCGUAAGGAACUUGCCCUGCAGUCAGGGAUAACAGACGGAAACGACUGAUAAGACCUGGUAAAGUCAGGCGGACUCAUGUCCAGCCUGAUGAAAAGAGAUGCUGCAGGAGAGCCUUGCGUCCUAUUAGCUUGUUGGUGGGGUAACGGCCAACCAAGGCGAUGAUAGGUAGCCGGCCUGAGAGGGUGGACGGCCACAAGGGGACUGAGAGACGGCCCUUACGCCUACGGGAGGCAGCAGUGGGGAAUAUUGGACAAUGGGGGCAACCCUGAUCCAGCAAUUCUGUGUGCACGAUGAAGGUUUUCGGAUUGUAAAGUGCUUUCAGCAGGGAAGAAAAAAAUGACGGUACCUGCAGAAGAAGCGGCGGCUAAAUACGUG
rnacentral:rRNA from 1 species